UCCUACGGGGGGCAGCAGUGAGGAAUAUUGGUCAAUGGUCGGGAGACUGAACCAGCCAAGCCGCGUGAGGGAUGAAGGUACAGAGUAUCGUAAACCUCUUUUGUCAGGGAACAAAGGCGGGGACGCGUCCCCGGAUGAGUGUACCUGAAGAAAAAGCAUCGGCUAACUCCGUGCCAGCAGCCGCGGUAAUACGGAGGAUGCGAGCGUUAUCCGGAUUUAUUGGGUUUAAAGGGUGCGCAGGCGGUCUGUUAAGUCAGCGGUCAAAGCCCGGGGCUCAACCCCGGUCCCCCGUUGCAACGGGCAGG
rnacentral:rRNA from 1 species